UUACAAUGAAAGAUUUGAAGUUUCGACUCAGCAAUUCCACUCCUGGGAAUCUACCCCCAGAGAAGCGAACACACCCAAGGCUGAUGUACAAGGAUGUUAAUGGCCGCAUAAUUUGCUGGUGAGGCUUUGACCCUAUCCUGAUGGCUGCUGGGAGAGGAGACCCACCACCUUCCUGGGCAGCCCAUCCCAUACCUCACAGCCUCCACUUGGACACCGGCUUUUAUCGAGACGUCGGCCCCGGGAAUGUGAGCUGGUUGCCUUUGCUUCUCUUCCAGGCAAAGGUUUAUUUUUAAAUAAAUCGUUCCUUUCAGAACAAGGCUUGGA